rnacentral:rRNA from 1 species
AACGAACGCUGGCGGCAUGCCUAACACAUGCAAGUCGAACGAGACCUUCGGGUCUAGUGGCGCACGGGUUCGUAACGCGUGGGAACCUGCCCUUAGGUUCGGAAUAACUCCCCGAAAGGGGUGCUAAUACCGGAUAAUGUCUUCGGACCAAAGAUUUAUCGCCUUUGGAUGGGCCCGCGUUGGAUUAGCUAGUUGGUAGGGUAAAAGCCUACCAAGGCGACGAUCCAUAGCUGGUCUGAGAGGAUGAUCAGCCACACUGGGACUGAGACACGGCCCAGAAUCCUACGGGAGGCAGGAGUGGGGAAUAUUGGACAAUGGGCGAAAGCAUGAUCCAGCAAUGCUGCGUGAGUGAUGAAGGCCUUAGGGUUGUAAAGCUCUUUUAACCGGGAUGAUAAUGACAGUACCGGGAGAAUAAGCUCCGGCUAACUACGUG